rnacentral:tRNA from 1 species
UCAGCUUUGGUGCAGUAGGUAGCGCAUCAGCCUCGCAAGCUGAAGGUCCUGAGUUCGAUCCUCAAAAGGAGGG